GAGACACGCCCAGGCUUCUACGGGAGGCAGCAGUGGGGAAUCUUAGACAAUGGGCGCAAGCCUGAUCUAGCCAUGCCGCGUGAGCGAUGAAGGUCUUAGGGUCGUAAAGCUCUUUCGUCAGAGAUGAUAAUGACAGUAUC
rnacentral:rRNA from 1 species